AACGAACGCUGGCGGCGCGCCUAAUACAUGCAAGUCGAGCGAGAAGGUGUAGCAAUACACUUGUAAAGCGGCGAACGGGUGAGGAAUGCAUGGGUAACCUACCCUCGAGUGGGGAAUAACUAGCCGAAAGGUUAGCUAAUACCGCAUACGUUUCCGGAACUUCGGUUUCGGAAAGAAAGCAAUACCGUGGGUAUUGCGCUCCUGGAUGGGCUCAUGUCCUAUCAGCUUGUUGGUGAGGUAACGGCUCACCAAGGCUUCGACGGGUAGCUGGUCUGAGAGGACGAUCAGCCACACUGGCACUGCGACACGGGCCAGACUCCUACGGGAGCAGCAGUAAGGAUAUUGCGCAAUGGACGAAAGUCUGACGCAGCGACGCCGCGU
rnacentral:rRNA from 1 species